CCCUUAGAUGUCCUGGGCCGCACGCGCGUUACACUGAUGCAUUCAACGAGCUUAUAACCUUGGCCGAGAGGCCCGGGCAAUCUUGUUAACGUGCAUCGUGAUAGGGAUAGAUUAUUGAAAUUAUUAAUCUUGAACGAGGAAUUCCUAGUAAACGCAGAUCAUCAAUCUGCAUUGAUUACGUCCCUGCCCUUUGUACGCACCGCCCGUCGCACCUACCGAUUGGAUGGUCCGGUGAAGCCUCGGGAUUGUGGUUCUUGCCGCUUUAUUGUGGCGUGACCGCGAGAACUUGUCUAAACCUUAUCAUCUAGAGGAAGGUGAAGUCGUAACA
rnacentral:rRNA from 1 species